GACGAACGCUGGCGGCGUGCUUAACACAUGCAAGUCGAACGGAAAGGCCUCUUUCGGGGGGUACUCGAGUGGCGAACGGGUGAGUAACACGUGAGUAACCUGCCCUUGACUUUGGGAUAACUUCAGGAAACUGGGGCUAAUACCGGAUAGUAGCUCCUGCUGCAUGGUGGGGGUUGGAAAGUUUCGGCGGUUGGGGAUGGACGCGCGGCUUAUCAGCUUGGUGGUGGGGUAGUGGCUUACCAAGGCUGUGACGUGUACCCGGACUGAGGGGGUGACAGACGGUCCAGACUCCUAGGGGAGGCAGAGGUUGGUAAGAGUGGAAGAAGGGCGGAAGACUGAACAAUGGGUGGCGCCUGGAUGAAGAAAGGCCUCGGGCUGGAUGACGCUCUAAGGUUUGUAGAACGCUAUCGCUCAUAUACAAGCUUUGUGUGACGGUACUGGCUAAAGAAGCACCGGCUAACUACGUG
rnacentral:rRNA from 1 species